rnacentral:rRNA from 1 species
UACGAAGGGGGCUAGCGUUGCUCGGAAUUACUGGGCGUAAAGGGCGCGUAGGCGGACAGUUUAGUCAGAGGUGAAAGCCCAGGGCUCAACCUUGGAAUUGCCUUAGAUACUGGCUGUCUUGAGUUCGGGAGAGGUGAGUGGAAUGCCGAGUGUAGAGGUGAAAUUCGUAGAUAUUCGGCGGAACACCAGUGGCGAAGGCGACUCACUGGCCCGAUACUGACGCUGAGGCGCGAAAGCGUGGGGAGCAAACAGG